CAAAGAUUUUACUGAGUUUCAGUUCAUUUAUGGAAAUCAGUCAAUUGAAAUAAAUGAAUUUGGCCCUAAUCUAAUCUAAUCUAAUCAAUGCGUAUGGAAAAUUUCUGGGAUCUUGUAUUUCAACUCAUGAAACGUGGGACCAACACUUUACAUGUUGCGUUUAUAUUUUUGUUCAGUGUAUAUAUAUAUAUAUAUAUAUAUAUAUAAAAUACAACACAGUUGCACACAAACCAGAGAACAGAAUUUACAAAACAUGUCUGAAAAGUUUGAAGUCGACAAGAAGUUGCAUUUCUAGACUCUCCUCAACCACCACCAGUGUGCAGCAUCCACCUGGAUGGUGCAACGGCAGCCAUAGUGUGACAGUACGCUCACCACACACCAGCUAUUGGUGGAGAGGAGAGAGUAGAGUUAUAGAGAACAUUUAUGGAUAGGGAUUAUUAGGAGGCCAUGUUUCUUGAGGACCAAUGGGGGAAUUUGGCCAAUACCCCAGCUGUUUAUGAGAAGUGACCUGGGAUUUUUAAUGGCCACAGAGAGUCAGGAACUCGGUUUAACAUAGCAUCCGAAGGACUGAGUCUUUUUACUGUAUAGUGUUCCCAUUACUGUACUGGGGGUUUAGGACUCACACAGAUUGAAGGCCGAGCGCCCCCUGCUGGCCUCACUAAAACCUCUUCUUGCAGCAAACUUGGUUUUCCCCAGGACGUCUCCCAUCCAGGUACUACUACUGACCAGUCUCAACCAUGCUUAGCUUCAGUGGGCAACCAGUCUAGAGCUACAGAGUGAUAUGACUGCUGGUAUAAAUGGUGAUUAUGGACGAUCCUGGCAACACCAUGAGACAGCUUUCACUUCUGCAGCCCAGCCAUCAUCAGACUGUUCUCCAUCACUGCAAUGUUUUGGAGACUCCAUGUUAUAUUAUUAGCAGCACAAACACUGUGGGGCCAUCCUGGGAAAAUGGGUGACAUAUCCUGAGGUUACUAGAGCCUGCCAGAUCCUGCUCCAGUCCAGCCAGAUGUUUGACUCCGACCGCUAUGUGUCGCUGAGCGAUGACUACUAACUGCAUCCUGUGCCAACCAGACAGUGAGGGGUGCUUCAUUGAUCACUGUCUGCAUCACUUAAAUCUAUUUUAAUGGACUUAACAGAGGAUGAACUGCUGCCAACUUCAACCAUACAACAAGGUAUACUUAACUGGCCACUGCCUGCACCUCAGACUUAAGCUGGAGUUCACUGGAAAUGAAGCUUCCAGCCAGACUACGAGGCACACCUCAUGACCUCUUGGUCAUAGGAUGGAUUACACACUCUUAAAAUUGUAUACAUAGACAAUAAAUUAAUGCCAACUAUAGCCUUCAUCAGCCAGAUAAAAAAGGACACUGCAUUUACAUGCACUUCCACAGUUUAUUUGGGAUGGACUUCAAAGGCACAUAUUUAUUAAUUUUAAAGUUCAGUCAAUAUCCUUUAUUUUUAAACAAUGGCAAUCAAAAUUUUACUCAAUUAAUACAUGACUUGUAUUACACUUAGAUAACUAAUACUGGCAGUAUAUUCAUGCAGUAUGGCCAGAGGGGAACUGACUCCCACAGCUGAGCCUCGUUUCUCCCAAGGUUUUUUUCUCAAUUAAUUAACAUCUUAUAGAGUUUUGAGUUCCUUGCUGCAGUCGCCUUUCGCUUGCUCACUGGGGGCCUAAA